rnacentral:ncRNA from 1 species
CUCUACCCUCAAAGCCAGAUACGCAAAGCUCACGGGCUGUGCGUCAGUGCAGAGGGGAUAAAGGGGCCUGUUUCCAUGCCGUCCAAAUAGGCAAAAAACAAAACCCUCAUGGAAGCCGUUAGUAACCCGGCCACAGGCCGGGCGAACGCCGUGACACAUGA